rnacentral:rRNA from 1 species
AACGAACGCUGGCGGCAGGCUUAACACAUGCAAGUCGAGCGCCCCGCAAGGGGAGCGGCAGACGGGUGAGUAACGCGUGGGAAUCUACCGAGCCCUACGGAAUAGCUCCGGGAAACUGGAAUUAAUACCGUAUACGCCCUUCGGGGGAAAGAUUUAUCGGGGUUUGAUGAGCCCGCGUUGGAUUAGCUAGUUGGUGGGGUAAAGGCCUACCAAGGCGACGAUCCAUAGCUGGUCUGAGAGGAUGAUCAGCCACAUUGGGACUGAGACACGGCCCAAACUCCUACGGGAGGCAGCAGUGGGGAAUAUUGGACAAUGGGCGCAAGCCUGAUCCAGCCAUGCCGCGUGAGUGAUGAAGGCCCUAGGGUUGUAAAGCUCUUUCACCGGUGAAGAUAAUGACGGUAACCGGAGAAGAAGCCCCGGCUAACUUCGUGCCAGCCGCCGCGGUAA